UCAACCCUCAAGCCUGGCUUGCUGUUGGACCUUCGUCGGUACAAGACGGGUCCCAAAGAUAAUGACAGAGUCGUGUUGGACCCUCGAUGCAACGAGCUUUCACAAGCACGCAUGGAAGUGGCCAGGCACUCUUGUCCCACCCUCUUUUUACAA
rnacentral:misc_RNA from 1 species